UACAGAGGGGGCAAGCGUUGUCCGGACUUACUGGGUGUAAAGCGCAUGCAGGUGGCUGUGCAAGUAUGCUGUGAAAGCCCCGUGCUUAACACGGGGAGGCCAGUAUAGACUGCACGGCUCGAGGACUGCAGAGGGUAGGGGAAUUGCUGGUGUAGUGGUGGAAUGCGCAGAUAUCAGGAGGAACACCGAUGGCGAAGGCAGAUCUCUGGGCCGUAACUGACGCUGAGGAGCGAAAGCAUGGGGAGCGAACAGG
rnacentral:rRNA from 1 species